UGCACUUCCUGGUUGCUUCAGGGAAUAUAUUUUUAAUACAUUUCCCCCUUUUUCCUGGGGGUAGUGCCAGGAGGAGCCCCCUAGGAAUCAGAUUGGCUGGAGUAACUUGAGUAGCAGCUAACCCAAACAGGAAGUUUCAGGCAGAGGAGGAGGGGCUGGAGGAAGGUCUCUGCUCUGGAGGAUUCCUUGGCUGCUGUGCUGGCAGGCUUGGAGGAAAGCGGGGGGUAGAACCUCAGUGACCAGAUUCUCCCCUGCCCCGCCCCCCCAGUCCCCACCAGGCGCUACUUGGACUGAUUCUGUAUAUGACAGCUUCCUAUGUAACCAGAGGCCUGCUCCCAAACAUCUGGAUUCAGGGGCAGAUUUGCAGGAUCUGCACUGGGACAAAUAUCCAACCAACAACAAACAAAAGACAACUAAAUAGAAUACAACCAGAGGGCUGGAGUUUGGUUUUCCCAAACUCUCAGGAAAACUUCACAAAUACCCAAGCCAUUGUUGUAAGCUGCCCAGAGAACAAUUUGUUAUUUUAUAAUAAAAAUAAAGUUGUAUUAAUUAUUAUUAUUUUAUUUCAUUCUAUUUAUUUUCAUAAAUUAUAUGACUUUUCACCAAGAUUGCAAAUCAGAUUACAGCAUAGACAAGAAUAAAAGUACACAACCAAAUUGCAUGAUACGACAUUAU